UACGUAGGGGGCAAGCGUUAUCCGGAUUUACUGGGUGUAAAGGGAGCGUAGACGGCGCGGCAAGUCUGAAGUGAAAGGCAGGGGCUUAACCCCUGAACUGCUUUUGAAACUGUUUAUCUUGAGUGAAGUAGAGGUAGGCGGAAUUCCCGGUGUAGCGGUGAAAUGCGUAGAGAUCGGGAGGAACACCAGUGGCGAAGGCGGCCUACUGGGCUUUAACUGACGCUGAAGCACGAAAGCGUGGGUAGCAAACAGG
rnacentral:rRNA from 1 species